rnacentral:tRNA from 1 species
UCCCUGACAGUUCAGUGGUUAGGGCUCCGUGCUUCCACUGCAGAGGCCCGGGUUCAAUCCCUGGUCAGGGAA